UUUAAUAUUGUGAGUGGUAAUAAUUGGCUUUUCCUUCUCAGGAUCACAUAUCAUCCCUUACAGCUGUCAUGUUCCUCAAAAGUCCUGAAGCUUUGUGGUAGAUUUUACCAGAAAACAUUGUACACAAAUGUUUUUUCCAGGUGAGUAUAUGCCUGCCUUAGGUUCACCCGGGGAAGAGCUUCUUAAAAAUAGAUGCCUGACGAUGAAGAGAUCACCGGUCAGCGAGGCAGAGAGGUUGAACCGCUCCUCAAGCAAAGACAGAGAAAAGAGUGGAGACUUUCAAUGUGAAGAGCUCCAGAGCGGCUUUUUGGAAAACCACUGAGACCUGACAGCGACCUUCCUUCAUGACCGCGGACACAGAGGAAAAUGACUGUCCCGCUCCCAGACGGAAAAUGUUGACGGAUAAGGCCCAGCCAGCUGCUGCUGCGUGUUCGUCUGGCUUUGGCUCUGCCGCGUUAGAGGCCUUCUGACACUGAAAACGUUGCCAUCUGCACAUAUGGACAUCAGCGGCGUGAAGGAACGUCCGCGGAAAACAAAAUCACUUCACAGUGAGGUAACCUUUUCGUAAGCAGGCACUGAGCUUCAAAAGAUUAAGAGGAUCAUCAACUUGAUAUUCUUAUUUCAUGAGAUGUUUCUGAUUUUUCUUUUCUGAAAUAAAAUGCGGGGAUUUCUGAGACCAAAGUUCCAAAAUAUAUUCAUUUUGAAAGGGUUUUUUUUGUGUGUGUGUGUGUGGAUUCAUCUAAAAAACAUUUUCUUGAAAUCUUCUUCCGUAAAAAGUCAAACUUAAUCCAGAUUUUCGCAACAAGUCAUCAAGAAAACCAAUUCUAGUUUCUUCCAGAUCUAAAUAAUGACCAACGUUUUUCCUGUAAAACAAACAAAAUGCUAAAGCCUGAACCGCACCACCAAAUGGAUCUGGUUCCAUAAAUGAAGACACAGCCUCUUUCAGCUGAUGACUAAAACCAGGCAUCAUUCAUAAUGCUUAAAUAUUGAGGACUGUUUUCUUGCAGCUUUUAUUCACCAUCAACCCGUGCUGCUUUUAUCAAACAGAGAUUUUUCAUGCUACAUUAAAUAUAGCCCUGAAAUAAAAAGGCGUGACAGAAAAAACCUGAAUGAUUCAGCUUGAUCUGAUGAGAUUUUGUAUGAUGUAUCAUGAUUCACACUUCUUAACGUUUGUUUAACAUCUAUUUUUAUUUUACAUUUCAAAGAAAACAGGCCUUUUGGGGUGGCUUGCCUCAGUUCUUGUUUGAUGUUCUUCACUUUGAAACACAAGGCUUGGGCACACUGGCAUCUUUUAACCAAUACUCCAAUGCAUUUGUUAAGCAGUAACUCUUAUCAUGAUGUCAGUUUGUUGGUCUAGUCAAUAAAAAGAGGGAAAAAAAAUAAAGACGUUCUAAUUAUCUUUGACCUUGCAGCAACUCGUCCGCGUGGAGGCUCUGGUGGGCCAUCUUCUUCUUCUUCUUUUUGUAUCUUUUGGAGUAAGUGAUGCAAAUACUGCUGUGUGCUGCGGGAUCUGAGCGGGGCAAGCAGCUCCAUCAAAUAAAAACCCCACCAGCAUGAUGAUGGUGCAGGCGCGCACUGACGCUGAAUCAAAGUCCCUCUGGGUUUCUGUUCAAGUCUGCAGUAAAAACUGAGCUCUCACAGUUUUUAACGUAAUUCAGUGCCACUCUGGCCAGGGUAUAGCACAUUGGAACGUGUGUGGCUCUUUCUUUGCCCCUCUACCUUCUAACUUUGUAACUUUAAAGAUUGUUAACUGUGUGUUUGAAAUUUGACAUUAUUUGAUAUAAUUCAAAAUAAAAGCAUGUUUGGGCAGUUAACAGAAGUAGCCUUCUCCAGCCACUUGUACAGCUGUAACCGUGUGACUCGUUGGUCUGUUUUGGGCUAAUAUGGUGUCAAGUAGCCACACUGGGCAUGCAUGAUAUCAGCAAACUUUGACCUCACAGAGUAUUGACCAUUGGGCUACAAGCAAAGCUGACAGAUGUGGAGACAUAGCUCAGGUUGUUCCAGAGCUGAAGACUCAGCAGUGGGCCUUCAGGCUGUAAGACACUCUUGUCUCAUAACAUGAAGCCUCUGGUUCAAAUCCUGGCUUUUUACUUUUAAAUGUGGAAUUUCUUUGUUCUCUUUGUGCAUAUGUGGGUUUUCUACAGGAAAUGCGUUACUCCCACAGUCCAAAAACAUUCUGUAUAGGUUCAUUGGACGCUCUAAAUUGUUCCUAGAUCUGAAUAUAAGUGUGUGUGGUUGUUAUGUGUGACCCUGCCACAUACUGCCGACCUGUCCAAGGUGUGUACCCUGCCUUUGCCCAGCAGUAGCUAGGAUAGGCUCCUGUGGCCCUAAAAGUGACUUAGUAGGUUUGGAAAAUGGAUGGAUGGAAAAUCAGCAGUCACCUGUCAUUUGACCAUGAAAAUAUUUGGUUUUAAACCAGAUUUUAAAAUAAAAGAAGAAUAUGAGGUACAUAAUAAAUUCACCCGAAUGACGUAUCGGAUUUUAAAACUCACCGCAAUACCAAAAAUGUUUGUUUGAUUUUCUCAAGGUGGAUCAUUUGACGAACAAUAGACUGUCUGUGUUGGUUAACCCUUGUGCUAUCCUAUGGGGUCAAGAUGAGCAUUGACGUGUUAUUCCUAGCAUGAAACAGGUGAAUAAAGGUGGAGAGGAUUUCUUCUAAUCCAUGGACACCAGUGAAGAUCACAAAUCAUUGAAAAAAAAAAAGAUUCAACGCCCUGUCUAGUGGGGUCUACAUGACCCAACUCCCAAUAUUAAAGUGCCUAGGAUAGCACAAGGGUUAAUCGAGUUUACAGUGUAAAUUGUAAUUUUUGCCUUGUUUUCAGUUUCAGUCUGGAAGUUGAGAGAUUGCUUGUUGCUCCUCAGUAGCCGCACUGAGGAGGAACAGGUUCUUAUAAGAUGUUAUCUUACAGUUGCGUCAUUUUUGUCUGUUUUUAUGUAAUAUUUGUGGCAACUGCCAGUUUCUAAAAGAAAAAAAAAACACUUUUUAAAAUAUUCGUAAACUGUAUUUCUUUUUUUCUGCUUUUUAUAUAUUUUCAUUUUAAGGAGUAAACUGGUAUCACAGGCCUACCCUAAUUUUAAAAAAUAAAAAAAUAAAAUACUGUUUAUAUAUGAUAAGGAUGAAUAAAAGUAACUUCUGUAAAAGGCAAGCUGGAUUU
rnacentral:lncRNA from 1 species